UACGUAGGGUGCAAGCGUUGUCCGGAAUUAUUGGGCGUAAAGCGCACGUAGGCGGCUUUUUAAGUCAGGGUGAAAUCCCGGGGCUCAACCCCGGAACUGCCCUUGAAACUGGAGAGCUAGAAUCUUGGAGAGGCGAGUGGAAUUCCGAGUGUAGAGGUGAAAUUCGUAGAUAUUCGGAAGAACACCAGUGGCGAAGGCGACUCGCUGGACAAGUAUUGACGCUGAGGUGCGAAAGCGUGGGGAGCAAACAGG
rnacentral:rRNA from 1 species